AUAGUGUUUAUAGUGCUUAGUGUUUGUAGUGUCUAUAGUGUCUAUAGUGUUUAUAGUGCUUAGUGUUUGUAGUGUCUAUAGUGUUUAUAGUGUUUAGUGUUUCUGUUAGUGGAAGUUAAGAGAUCUAUCAGAUCUUUUACUCAGGAGAUUUGAUUCUUCCUAAAGAAUUUGCUUGCCACCUUGAAUAUUGGAUAUUUGAGAAAAUUUGACCCAGAAUCACUUUAAAAGUUUUAAGAAGUGUGAAGGCAAAUAUUCGCUUUGCAGUUUCCUACCCAAGGUUUAGCUUGAUCCCACUGAAUGUUUGUUUGUGUCUUUCUGUGCCAAUGAAAUUAAUUGUUACCUUUUAAGGGACAGGUGUGCCCCAAUUUAUCAUAUAUAACCCAGGUUUCUCUGCCUCCGGACAGAGCACUUCUGAUCUGGCAUGCGAAUGCUUGUAUCUGUUUGCUCUCAAUAAAUGUUACUCAAAGACUCCACGUCUCUGAGUAUUUGAUUGACUGAUUUUACCACGACAAGAAGCUUUUGCAUAUUUUCAACAAUGAUCUCACUUAUCAAUGUCUGUUCCAGGGCUGCACAUCUUUUGAUAGAGCAAUUGACUGUGAUCCUGUUGGCUUACUGUUACCCUCUCUAGAAGGGAAGCUCAUUAUCAGUACCUGUUCUGUUUUCAUUGACAGGACACUGGCUCCAGGGUAGUGGAUCCUGGAAGGAGUUGAAGAAGUACCACAUGACCCAGGCUAUGAUGGUGUUGUAGUACAUUCCGACCAUAUAGGACACAAGCAUGGACGCUACACCUGUGGAAGAAAGUGCUGUUAAACUCACCAACUCCAGCUAAGUAAGGACUGAUGGACCUCCAGACUCCGACACUGCCCUUCCUCAGCAUCUGUCCAAUGGCGAAUUCCAGAUACAGCAGAGGAACCCCCUCCACAACCAGGAGGAGCAGGAACAGAAUUAUGAGCGCUCCUGCAGCACAGAUAAGAGGGAAUACAUGGAUUUAACAUGUCCCCGAACUGCUCUUUCAACCUUCUCAGGUCCUCCAGGGCACAUACAGACCUUCAGAGCCCCUUCUUGGGUUUAUCUAAGUACUCACAUAUAGCUCGGUGACACAAGUGGAGAAAUUGUGUGGAAAGAGCAGAUUCUAAACCUUCAGUCCAUUCUGUGUUAGGAGUAGAAGAGCUGAUGUCUUAUUAUGAAAAGUUAUUAAAGUUAACUUUACAGCCCAGUUUUUACAUUUUUGCCAACAUCCAACUGUAGAAACAUUCUGGAAAGUGUGUGUAAAAGUAAUGCAAAACAUAGUUUUAUAAUUACUAUGUAAGUAUUAUCUAAUUACAUUUGAAUAGUACCACAAGAGGAUGGUAAUAACUCUAUAUUGCUAUGUGUUAAAUGUCUUACUAUCAUUUACUAUUAACACGUUAAAUUUAAAUAGUACAAUAAAAGUAACUGUUAUAUAGUAUUACGUCAUAAUAUUGGAAUAGUACAGUAACUAUGUAGUUAUAUAAGUAUGUCAUUACGUUGGAAUAGUACAGUAUCUAUGUAGUUAUUAUGUAAAUAGCAUGUUAUUACGUUUGAAUAAUACAUUAACUAUGUCGUUAUAUAUUGUCAUUAAUUUGGAAUAGUACAGUAACUAUGUAGUCAUUAUGUAAGUAGUAUAGCAUUACGUUUGAAUAGUGCAGGAAAUAUGAGGUUAAACAAGUAUGUUGUUAGACUUUUUAUCAGACUGUUUAUCAGACUGUUUAUCAGUCAUGUGGUGUUGUAUAGAUUAUUGUUUAACUAGUGAUUAUCAAACAUUCUAAAUGAACUGAUGUGUAAAACUGCUUAAAAACAUCCUUUCUGUAGUAAUAAUGAUAUUAUUAUUAUUAUUAUUAUUAUUAUUAAUGAUGGAGCUCAAAAACAAUUGAGAAAUAUGAGAAAAUAUGAGUCCGUGUUAAGCCUUUUUAUUUUAUCCCUGACACACAUUUGAUUUGUUUUAUUGGUUUAUUUUUAUUCCUUCUUAUAAUCCCUUUAUUUGACUGGUUGGACCUUUACUUUGCUUAUUUACCUUUUGAUGUUGAAAUCUUAGUAGUUGGUUGGUUGUUUAGGUUUUAUUUAUUUUUCCUUCUUAAUUAAAUCUUAGUUUUUCUUAA